rnacentral:rRNA from 1 species
UACAGAGGGGGCAAGCGUUGUUCGGAAUUACUGGGCGUAAAGGGCGCGUAGGCGGCCUGCUAAGUCGAACGUGAAAUCCCCGGGCUCAACCCGGGAACUGCGUCCGAUACUGGUAGGCUUGAAUUCGGGAGAGGGAUGCGGAAUUCCAGGUGUAGCGGUGAAAUGCGUAGAUAUCUGGAGGAACACCGGUGGCGAAGGCGGCGCUCUGGACCGAGACUGACGCUGAGGCGCGAAAGCGUGGGGAGCAAACAGG